rnacentral:lncRNA from 1 species
UUGUUUUGAAAGAUACAUGUUUUUCUAAACAUCCAUUGCUCUUCAGUGGGUUUUUUUUUAAUAGACUUUUUUUAAAGAAUUUGAGGUUCAUAGAAAAAUUCAUCAGAAAGUAGAGUUUCCACAUACCCUCUUCCACUCCUCACAGUUUCUCUUGUUAUUUACGUCUUGUUUUUUAUUUUAUUUUUAUUUUUAUUUAUUUAUUUAUUUAUUUAUUUUUUGAAAGAGUCCAGCUCUAUGCAGUGGCAUGAUCUUGAUCUAGGCUCACUGUAACCUCCACCUCCCAGGUUCAAGCAAUUUUGGUGCAUCAGCCUCCCAAGCUGCUGGGAUUACAGGUGCAUGCCACCACGCUUGGUUAAUUUUUUUAUUUUUAGUAGAGAUGGGGUUUCACCAUAUUGGCCAGGCUGGUCUUCAGCUCCUGACCUCAAGCGAUCUGCCCACCUUAUCCUCCCAAAGUGCUGUCCUUACAGGCGUGAGCCACUGUGCCUGGCCUACAUCUUGUUUUAAUGUGGUACAUUUACUACAAUUGAUGAAAUGAUAUUGACACUGAUUACUAACUAAUGUCUAUAAUUUACAUUAGAAUUCACACUUUUUGUUGUAUGUUUUAUUGUUUUUGGUUUUUGGUUUGUUUUGUUUUAAGAGACAGGUCUCAUUAAUGUUGCCCAGGCUGAAGUCAAAUUUCUGGACUCAAACGAUCUCCCAAGUAUCUGGGACUAUAGUCAAGCACUGUAGGUUUUGACAAAUAUAUAACAUGUAUCCACCAUUACUAUAUUAUGCAAAAUAGUUUCACUUUCCAAAAACUCUCCUGUGCUCCAUCUUCAUCCCUCCAUUACAUAAAAAUAAAGAUCCUAGCCCUUUUAAUUUCAUGUUUUACUAUUCAAAGCAUUUGGUCUUUUAAGUCUCAUAAAAAUCCAGUGAGGUAAAUAUGAAUCCUAUCAUUGCUAUCCUGCAAAUAAUAAAAUGGAGGAAUGUGAAGGAAUGGUAGAGAAGUUAAAAAGAGUAAGGGUGAAUGUGGGUUUAAAAAAAGAAAUACUCUCUCAACAUCAAAAGAAAAGGACAUAGGAAUAGAUGGUUUAAUACUUUGUGAAAAGGAAAUACAUACACCUUUCCACAGCUAAUUUAAAAGAGGAAGAAUAAAUGUAAAGUUGACAAUAAUACAGAUAAGAAAGUAAUAGGCUGGGUGUGGUGGCUCAUGCCUGUAAUCCUAACCCUUUGGAAGGCUGAGGCCAGAGGAUUGCUUGAAGCUAUGAGUUCUAGACCAACCUGGGCAACUUGGCAUUUUUUUUAUUUAGCUGGGCAUGGUGGUACACUCCUGCAUUCCUAGCUCCUUGGGAGAGAGGCAGGAAAAUCGCUUGAGUCCACAAGUUCAAG